rnacentral:rRNA from 1 species
AAAACUUUUAACAACGGAUCUCUUGGUUCUGGCAUCGAUGAAGAACGCAGCGAAAUGCGAUAAGUAAUGUGAAUUGCAGAAUUCAGUGAAUCAUCGAAUCUUUGAACGCACAUUGCGCCCCUUGGUAUUCCGGGGGGCAUGCCUGUUCGAGCGUCAUUU